UUAGCUCAUAUUUGUAUGAAAUGGGAUCGUUUGCGUACGUUUGCCGCUAGGGGCGCUGUUCCAGCUCCAUACAAAAUUGGGUUA
rnacentral:pre_miRNA from 1 species